ACGUGACUACAUGUCUCCCCUUCUGGCUGCCACGUGAUGCCUUUUAGCGUAGCCAACCCCACACGUCCUAUUUGCUUUCCACUGUGCCGUUCCUCUUAUAAAAUUUCACUUCUUUUUGCAUGCAUGGUGGGGUUCCAACUUGGAACCGUGUGUGGGAAAUUUCCACAUCCUGCAUUAGCUCUUUUGGCACAGGGUGGGAUGGGGUCCAGGCAUCUUGAGACGUUGUGAGCCUCAUGUUCUUACCUUACUUUAAGGUCGAGAUCUUAAAUCGUGGCCAUCUUUAUCCUGCGUACGUAGUACCAUUGAUGGCCAUUCUUUCUUAUGUAUGCAUCUAAGUGUAUAUGUAUGUGUGCAUGUAUGUUACUGGAGAAGGUUUGGUUGGUUGAAAUAAAUAUAAAAUUGUCGUCAUGUC
rnacentral:lncRNA from 1 species